rnacentral:rRNA from 1 species
UACGGAGGGGGCUAGCGUUGUUCGGAAUUACUGGGCGUAAAGCGCACGUAGGCGGCUUUGUAAGUUAGAGGUGAAAGCCCGGAGCUCAACUCCGGAACUGCCUUUAAGACUGCAUCGCUUGAACGUCGGAGAGGUAAGUGGAAUUCCGAGUGUAGAGGUGAAAUUCGUAGAUAUUCGCAAGAACACCAGUGGCGAAGGCGGCUCACUGGCCCGAUACUGACGCUGAGGUGCGAAAGCGUGGGGAGCAAACAGG